rnacentral:rRNA from 1 species
AGCAGUCGCCACGGUAAUACAGAGGGUGCGAGCGUUAAUCGGAUUUACUGGGCGUAAAGCGUGCGUAGGCGGCUUCUUAAGUCGGAUGUGAAAUCCCUGAGCUUAACUUAGGAAUUGCAUUCGAUACUGGGAAGCUAGAGUAUGGGAGAGGAUGGUAGAAUUCCAGGUGUAGCGGUGAAAUGCGUAGAGAUCUGGAGGAAUACCGAUGGCGAAGGCAGCCAUCUGGCCUAAUACUGACGCUGAGGUACGAAAGCAUGGGGAGCAAACAGGAUUAGAUACCCGAGUAGUCCCUGUCUCUUAUAA